GAUGAACGCUGGCGGCGUGCCUAAUACAUGCAAGUCGAGCGAACAAAUGAGGAGCUUGCUCCUCUGACGUUAGCGGCGGACGGGUGAGUAACACGUGGAUAACCUACCUAUAAGACUGGGAUAACUUCGGGAAACCGGAGCUAAUACCGGAUAAUAUAUUGAACCGCAUGGUUCAAUAGUGAAAGACGGUUUUGCUGUCACUUAUAGAUGGAUCCGCGCCGCAUUAGCUAGUUGGUAAGGUAACGGCUUACCAAGGCAACGAUGCGUAGCCGACCUGAGAGGGGGAUCGGCCACACUGGAACGGGGACACGGUCCAGACGCCUACGGGAGGCAGCAGUAGGGAAUCUUCCGCAAUGGGCGAAAGCCUGACGGAGUAACGCCGCGUGAGUGAUGAAGGUCUUCGGAUCGUAAAACUCUGUUAUUAGGGAAGAACAAAUGUGUAAGUAACUAUGCACGUCUUGACGGUACCUAAUCAGAAAGCCACGGCUAACUACGUG
rnacentral:rRNA from 1 species